AUAAUACGAGAAAACAAAAAUAUUUUUUUUUUCGAUGAUUGUGAGUAAGUUUUUGAUCACUGAGUAUAUUAUUUUUUAGCGUGCAUUUUUCUGUGCCUCUUUCGAGACCGUGAAAAAAACAACAACCAGAACCUCGGUCGCGAAAAGUUUGUUUCGUUUUUUCCUUCAAGGAUGCAGAAAAACAGCGAUGGGACAUUGUGCGGCCUACGGCUUGAGGAAACAGUACAACGAACCGUUUAACAAAAGGAGAAUUGAAGACCCGGCUACCACAAGAAAAAUACGCAUCAAAAACGAUUUUAAACCACGUCCGUAGAAACAUCUUCCUGUUACACCGACGGACAGCAGCAUCACCAGAACACCAUCUAAGAUAUAAUCCCGAUCCUUGCCUAAUCAUUCCGGGAGGGCCAGUAGACGAUCGACGAUUUUUUGUAAUUUUCGAGCUUCUGAAUGCUCAACGGGAACGAGCAGGACGGAUAAUGAAAAUUCUAAUUUAAGCUCAAGUUUUGUGUUUGUAAAUAAUAUAACAUAAUGAAAUACAGAAAAAAAGGUUAAACUUGUUGUUGAAAUUAUUUCUUAUCCAAUUUGUUCGAAAAUCAUUCUUAUAAUAUAAACAUUUAAGUACAGUACCGCAUACGGUUCAAAUACCGUAACAAA